AUAUUGGGUAGUAUGUGGCGAUAUUGAGGUGGUAUUGGGUAGUAUUGGGUAAAAUGUCCCGCCGUCAUAAUAGAGACACAAUUUAACCAGGCUUGAAAUUUGCGACAGUUUGACUAUUGCAGCUAGAGACACAUAAGUCACGUCUACACCACCAGCGACAAAAAAUCUAUGUUAUAGACUUUUGCCUAAAAAUUGCUUAUCUCUUAAGACCGGAAAUUGAUCAGUAUUAUGGGGGGUUUAGAUCGCAUUACAAACAAGAGAUGACAUUUUGUUAGGGUGCCAGAUGACGACGAACAGAAAAGGUUUCGCCAUGAUGUCGGUUUUGGAGGCACGGUCGACUUGGAAGAGAUAAUCACAUAAGUUACAUCAAACUGUAUAGUCUGCAAAGUAAAGAGGAGGUAUCCUGACAAAUGGACACAACCAUGAAUGAAGGAGCACUGUUCAAAAGACCUACCCAUAUUAUCAAACAAAACAUUCUUUUCUAUUAGUUAAAGAUACAUUAUGGAAGAUUAGAUAAAGAGCUAGCAGUUCUCACUAUAAUAGUUAUAACUAGAUGAUGUAAAUGGAAUAUGCUGAGAAUUUCAGUUAAAUUGCUUCACUACACGUGUAAGCUGAUAACGUUGACUAAUGAAGCUAGGCCUUUUAGUAAUGACAAUUGUUGUAGUAGUAUCCUAAUGUUCAACGUCUUCUUCCACAUAAGUGAUAUCGCAGACAAGAAAUAGGAGAGCCGAAGCUGCUUCCUGUUUUUAGAAUAUGAUUUUGCAAUCUUUCCAUUUUCGGCCUUAGGCCAUGGAUUGGGUUUUGUGGGAAGUUCUUCCCUUUAUUUAGUAAAAAACAUAUCGUUUGGUAGAUGUUUUCUUUUGCUUCUGGAUUGGUAGAUGUCUUCGUUGUGGGAUUAGUGUUUAGGUGCCAGGCCCGUCUUAUCGUGACCUCCCCUUACUCCACAAUCCCACUGUAUGGGUUUGGUAUCUGUUUCUUUUGCGGAAUAGUGUUUAGGUCCCGUGUCCGUCUGACCGUAUCUCCCUUUACUCCACUAUCCUGCUAGUUUGGCAGAUGUCAUCUUUGUGGGAUUUGUGUUUAGGUGCCAGGCCCGUCAUAUCGUGACCUCCCCUUACUCCCCUAUCCCACUCUGUAGGUUUGAUGUCUAUUUUUUGCCGGAAUAGUGUUUAGAUGCUGAGUCCGUCUGAUCGUGACUCUCCCUUACUCCACUAUCCUGCCAGUUUGGUAUAAAUCCCCUAUGUAGUUUAGUGUUUAGAUGCCGAGCCCGUCUAACCGUGCCCCUCCCCCCUACUUCACUAUUCUACUUAGUUCAACUGUGUCCAUUAGGGCGUGGAUUUGUUCGAAGAUUUGCAGUUUCAGAUCUGGUCUCGGGAAGAGUAAGUUCUUAGUGUUGAGUGAUAUGUUGUUAGUCUCCAUCAUUCUCACUAGUUCCCUUCUCUCCUCCGUGUAUACCUCGCAGUCUACCAGGACAUGGUUGGUGGUACAUUCUUCUCCGCACUCACAGACGAUGACUUGGUGUUUGUAGUCUCGCAGCCGCUCUUUCACCCUUAGUUUCGAUAUAAGUCACCCCGUGGGUUUUCUCCGGGUCCUCCGGUUUCCUCCCACUGCUAAAGACCCCUACGCGCAAGCGAAUUAUUGAAAUAAAAUUAAACCAUAUAUUAGUCCCGAAAUGACCUAGUUUGUGUCGAGUGGACGUUAAACCCCAUUUCUCUCUCUCUCUCUCGAUAUAAGUCUGCAUAUAUCUCUUCUAGGGUGAUUGGUCGCUGUCUUCGUGUAAAUUUUAUCAUCCAGUCGGAAUCUGUAUGUGUCAAGUUCAGCGAGUUUUAAUUCCCAGAAUGAAUUGACCUGCCUUUUAACCAUACUGUAGAUUUCCGUGGUGCUGUAGUCUAUGGUGCGGAGUGGUGCUGAGACCUUCGUUGGCGAGUCGAUCUGCCUCCUCGUUUCCUUUAAUGUUGACAUGUGAUGGAAUCCACACGAGCUCUAAUUUGCUUCCCUUCUCUAGGACCCUCUGGUACAGCUGCCUGAUUUCCAAAAUGACUUCUGGUCUUGAGUCCGAGUUGUCAUUUUUGAUUGAAAUCAGACUGCUCAGAGAAUCGCUUGGAAUGACGAACUUACUAGUCUUUUGAUGGGAGAUCCAUGAUAUAGCGUCACGAAUGGCCACAAGCUCUGCAGUGUACACCGAACAGUUAUUGGGCAGUUUCCUGCUUAUUCCCUGUUCCCCGUUUUCCAAACGAGCUUGUGCCCCUUUCAGAGUUGCGUGAGCCAUCCGUGUACACAUGGUCCCUGUCAUCAGACGGCCAGUUGUCUUCCAGGUGUUCUAGAGAGAAAGCACGUGCAUCAGUGGGGUUGUUUUUCUUGUCGGUUUUCUGUAGUAGAUCUAGAUUGACCGGCGGUAUAGGGAGCGUCCAAGGGGCGAUUGCUGGGGGGUCGUCUUCAUUUAUCACGAGCUCCCCCAGUCGCAGUUCCUUGAUUGUUUCCCUGAUACCCUGGCCGAAGCUUUUCUUUCUAGGAUCUCUCACAUAUCUUGUCUUUUGUAGACUGACAAAAGUAGGGGAUCUUUCGCCCAGUUGCGAGAUCUUUGCCCAAUACCUUGUCGCUAGUCCUUUUCUUCUUAGGGAUAGGGGCAACUCCCCGGCUUCCCGUAGUAAUGCCUCUCUCCUAGUCCCAAGCCAGUCGCAAUGCACAGAGCUUUGUAUUGGAUGGUGUCAAGCUUACUUAAGAGUUUUGGCGCGCAGUUCAUGAAGGCCAAAGAGCCGUAGUCUGAUACAGAGCGUAUUAGAGCACGAUACACCAUCAUUAAUGUAACUCUAUUGGCACCCCACGUGCUACCCGUUAUUUUUCUCAUUAAGUUUAGGAUUUUGGAGCAUCUAUCUACAGUCAAGUCUAUGUGCGGUUUCCAGGUCAGCCUUCGAUCAAAGAUUACGCCAAGGAACUUGGUUUGGUCUUUAAACUCGAUGGUUUUCCCGUUCAUACACAGAGUCAUUCUGCUUAUCCCACUAUCCCUGCUCACGAGCAUACCGACCGUUUUCUUCUCUGAGACUUUAAAUCCCCAGUCGUUUGCCCAUGUCAUGAAUUUGUCUACGGCCUUUUGCAUGUUCUUUUGCAGUUCACAAAGUUCUGGCAUCGAGGUAGGACGAUUUCUGUAUGUCAUUGAUCAUGAUAUUGAAGAGGGUGGGACUGAUGACCGACCCCUGAGGCGUGCCAUUUUCUAAUGUUUGCUUGGCACUCAGAAAUCUGCCACCAUUCACCUGUAUCCUUCUAUCACCCAGAAAGCUUUUGAUGCACCGAAACAUUAUGCCCGUUAUACCGAUACGUCCCAACUUAAAGAACAGCCCGUCUAACCAAACUAAAUCGAAACCCUUGGUCAUUAAAUCAUAUAAGUGGUCAGUAUUCUAAACUAAUGUUUAGUAUGUAUAUAAAGUGGUUAGACAUUAUACAGUUGUCAUUAAUUAGCAAGUGUGUAACUAGCUGGAAAAAAUGUGACUAUUUAUAACACCCAUCACUAUUGAAUACACAAACCUAACCAAUAGUGGUGUAUAUCAUUCAAUAAUCACAGUUUUAACACCUUAGUGACAAAACACCGACCUAAUGACUACUGCCGGAUUACUAACAUUUUAAACUAAAUAAUACACAUUAUGUAUAUAAACUGAUGACUUUGAUCUAUUAGUGUCGUAUAUUUUCAUUUAUAACAGUUAUUUGUUGCUUAGUCAACGAUAUCAAUGUUACAGUGCUAUAAGCCGAGAAACCCUUAGUUUAAAAAUGACUGUAGCCUCGAUUGUCAUUGUUGUUACUGCUGUCACGAUAAUAAACAAAGUCUUGAUUAUCCAUUGUUGCGUUUAAUCAACAGACAGUUAACAGCAGAUCAGAUUCAAAUCCAAUGAAAAUCGGACAACUUAGAUGACAUCAAGAGUUGAUUAUUAUAAAUGUCUAAUUAAUACAUGUAGUUUAUUUAACAUUUCAGACCUAAAGAAAGACCCGCAAUAAGCACAUUUACUUCUUGCAUAAUGCAUGUUUAAUAAACAUUGAUGCUAUUAAACAUAUUCCUGUUUUA